AGGACGAACGCUGGCGGCGUGCUUAACACAUGCAAGUCGAGCGGAAAGGCCCUUCGGGGUACUCGAGCGGCGAACGGGUGAGUAACACGUGAGCAACCUGCCCCUGGCUCUGGGAUAGCCUCCGGAAACGGGGAUUAAUACCGGACAUGACCUGCUGCCGCAUGGUGGCGGGUGGAAAGUUUUCGGCCAGGGUGGGCUCGCGGCCUAUCAGCUUGUUGGGGGGGUGACGGCCCACCAAGGCGACGACGGGUA
rnacentral:rRNA from 1 species